rnacentral:rRNA from 1 species
UACGGAGGGGGCUAGCGUUGUUCGGAAUUACUGGGCGUAAAGCGCGCGUAGGCGGACCUGCAAGUCGGGGGUGAAAGCCCGAGGCUCAACCUCGGAACUGCCUUCGAUACUGCGGGUCUCGAGUCCGGGAGAGGUGAGUGGAAUUCCUAGUGUAGAGGUGAAAUGCGUAGAGAUCGGGAGGAACACCAGAGGCGAAAGCGGCGACCUGGACAGGCACUGACACUCAACUACGAAAGCGUGGGGAGCAAACAGG